rnacentral:rRNA from 1 species
GACGAACCGUGCGAACGUUGUUCGGAAUCACUGGGCUUAAAGGGCGCGUAGGCGGCAGUUCAAGUCCGGGGUGAAAUCCUCCAGCUCAACUGGAGAAGUGCCCUGGAUACUGGAUUGCUCGAGGGAGGUAGGGGUCGAGGGAACUUCUGGUGGAGCGGUGAAAUGCGUUGAUAUCAGAAGGAACGCCGGUGGCGAAAGCGCUCGACUGGACCUCUUCUGACGCUGAGGCGCGAAAGCUAGGGGAGCAAACGGG